AAACCAGUUGACUAAAUAAUUGUGGAUUUGGUCAUAUUAAUAGGGGGUAUCAAAUAUGACCAAAUACACGAUUAUUUAAUCAACUGGUUUCC